UAUAAAGGUUUGUGCCAAAUUUUGUUGAAUUAUCUUUAAACAUUCGACCUGUAGUUUGAUUACGAGGUUUACAUGGACGGACGGACGAACAUCGCUUAUUCGACUCAGUGAUCCUGAGCAGUUUGGUAUGCUUUAAGGUGGGAGCUAGGACAAUAUUUUUGUGUGUUGCAAACAUCAGCCCUAACCCAUUGAACCUAUAAACAUGUACAUACUUUUCUUAAUAAAACUUUUUUGUAUACUAAUAAUAUUUUUUUUAUAUUUUAAUUUGAACUUUAUAUAUAUAAAGGAUGAAAUUUUGACUUAGUAUAGAAUAUUUGGGUCUUUAACGCACUGUUUUUUUAAAAGGAAUUUAUUGGCAAUCUUAAAGGAUAUAAAAUGAUAACAAUUUUAAAGGACAUUUUUGACAUCUUUUGAUCCUUACAGGAUAAAAAAAAGAUAAUACAAAAUAUUUUACAACUCUUCUUGUUCAUUUGACAUAAUAUUUGUCAUUGUUGGAUCAGCAGGAGUAUUUUUAAAUAUUUUUUGAAAAAUGUAAUUCUUUGAAACUUUGGAGUCCUUUAAAAAGGACAGAGGAUCACCAUACGUAUAUCAUCAGGUUCGUGUCUAAGGAUUUUUUUUUCUCUUUUUGUAGUACGGUGUAAUAAUUAAUUUAAACUUAAAACUAGUUUUAAUUUAGAAUAUUACAUAUUACGUACACAGUACGUGUAUGUAUGUAUACAAAAUUUUGUCUUUAAAUAUUUGUUCACACUUGUUAAAUUUGGUUUUUAUGACUGCAAUGAAAUACUAUUUUCGGUCGCACAAACAUUUUAUAGACAUUCCACAAAAUGUACACACAUGUUCAUGUUCGUGCGAAAGAAUUUUUCUUUACUGCAAGUUUUGUAUUCACCAGCAAAAGAAAAAAACGAUAAAUUGACAUACAAUUUGUACCUAUUCACGAAUUUUAAAUUUAACAUACAAAUAAUAUUUUUAAUUUCACGAUCAUUUGAAAAAAAUUAACUAUGCAAUGAUCAAAAAAUAUCAGUAUUAUAACAUUAAUUUAAUAAAUUUAACUAAAUAUUUUUUCCAAACGUUUCCAAUCUUACAGCAGUAGUUUCGGUUCUUCUCGUUCUGGUACCCGUUCUCCUUCAAUACCUCGACGCCGUGGGUCACCUAGUUUUCUGGAUCGUCGUCGUAUUACUAGCCGAUAUUCAGCAAGUCGAGAUAGAAGACAUUGAUUAAACAAUGAUUUAUUGUUAAUAUUAUUUUGCUUAAUACAUAUGUGUUUUUAUAAUUUUAAUUCAUAUAAUUGCACAACGUUUUUUAAAAUGGUUAUAAGUUUUAAUUCAUUAUUAUUUGUAUACUUGAUAAAUUCGUUGUAAAUUAUAUAAAUAAAAUAUGCAGUAUAUUUACAUAAA